rnacentral:misc_RNA from 1 species
GAUGAAGAACGUAGCGAAAUGCGAUACUUGGUGUGAAUUGCAGAAUCCCGUGAACCAUCGAGUCUUUGAACGCAAGUUGCGCCCGAAGCCAUUAGGCCGAGGGCACGCCUGCCUGGGCGUCACACGUCGUUGCCCCCCCAUCUACUCCUUCGGGAUUGCGGGGGGCGGAUGAUGGCCUCCCGUGCGCCUCGCCGCGCGGUUGGCAUAAAUGCCAAGUCCUCGGCGACGCACGCCACGACAAUCGGUGGUUGCGAAACCUCGGUUGCCCGUCGUGUGCGGUCGUCGCGCAUCGAGGGCUCGAAAAAAUUGCCGGGCUCCGGCUCGGCUUUCAACGCGACCCCAGGUCAGGCGGGGUUACCCGCUGAAUUUAAGCAUAUCAAUAAGCGGAGGA